rnacentral:lncRNA from 1 species
CGGCAAUGGUGGACUUGGUGGCUUGUAAGGCGGUGCUGGAGUUGUUGGUGGCUUAACUGGAGGUGUAGGAACUGGGGGCUUAUAUGGGGGAGUUGGUGCUUUAGUUGGUGGUGCUGGUGCUGGAGUUGGUGCUUUGGUUGGGGGUGCUGGAGCAGGUGUUGGGGGCUUAUAUGGGGGUGUAGGGGCCUUGACUGGAGGUGCCGGUGCGGGAGUAGGGGGUUUAUAUGGGGGAGUAGGAGCCUUGGUUGGUGGUGUUGGUGCUGGGGGCUUAUAUGGUGGAGUAGGAGCCUUGGUUGGUGGCGCAGGAGCUGGGGGCUUAUAUGGUGGAGUAGGAGCCUUGGUUGGUGGCGCAGGAGCUGGUGGUUUAUAUGGUGGAGUGGGGGCCUUGGUUGGUG